rnacentral:rRNA from 1 species
AUUGAACGCUGGCGGCAGGCCUAACACAUGCAAGUCGAACGAGUGGCGGACGGGUGAGUAAUGUCUGGGAAACUGCCUGAUGGAGGGGGAUAACUACUGGAAACGGUAGCUAAUACCACAUACCAUACGAUGUGCCCAGAUGGGAUUAGCUAGUUGUGGGGGAAACGGCUCACCAAGGCGACGGUCCCUAGCUGGUCUGAGAGGAUGACCAGCCACACUGGAACUGAGACAGUGUCCAGACUACUACGGGAGGCAGCAGUGGUGAAUAUUGCACAAUGGGCGCAAGCCUGAUGCAGCCAUGCCGCUUGUAUGAAGAAGGCCUUCGGGUUGUAAAGUACUUUCAGCGGGGAGGCGUUACCCGCAGAAGAAGCACCGGCUAACUCCGUGCCAGCAGCCGCGGUAAUUC